GUAGUAUUCCCUCCGUCCCAAAAUUCUUGUCUUACAUUUGUUUAGAUACGAAUGUAUCUAACACUAAAAUGUAACUAGAUACAUCCGUAUUUAGACAAAUUUAAGACAAAAUUUUUGGGACGGAGGGAGUACAAA
rnacentral:pre_miRNA from 1 species